rnacentral:rRNA from 1 species
AUUGAACGCUGGCGGCAGGCUUAACACAUGCAAGUCGAGCGGAGAUGAGGUGCUUGCACCCUAUCUUAGCGGCGGACGGGUGAGUAAUGCUUAGGAAUCUGCCUAUUAGUGGGGGACAACAUUCCGAAAGGAAUGCUAAUACCGCAUACGCCCUACGGGGGAAAGCAGGGGAUCUUCGGACCUUGCGCUAAUAGAUGAGCCUAAGUCGGAUUAGCUAGUUGGUGGGGUAAAGGCCUACCAAGGCGACGAUCUGUAGCGGGUCUGAGAGGAUGAUCCGCCACACUGGGACUGAGACACAGCCCAGACUCCUACGGGAGGCAGCAGUGGGGAAUAUUGGACAAUGGGCGGAAGCCUGAUCCAGCCAUGCCGCGUGUGUGAAGAAGGCCUUUUGGUUGUAAAGCACUUUAAGCGAGGAGGAGGCUACCUGGAUUAAUACUCUAGGAUAGUGGACGUUACUCGCAGAAUAAGCACCGGCUAACUCUGUGCCAGCCGCCGCGGUAACAC